GCUCCCGUAGUGUAGUUGGUCUAUCACCCAGGACUUUGAAUCCUGUGACCGCAGUUCGAAUCUGCGCGGGAGCU